GGAUCAUUCCCAGGGGAUCAUUCCCAGGGGGUUUGGGAUCAUUUCCAGGGAUUUGGGAUCAUUCCCGAGGGAUUUGGGAUCAUUCAGGUGGGAUCAUUCCCAGGGGUUUGGGAUCAUUCCCGGGGAUUUGGGACCAUUCCCGUGGGAUCAUUCCCAGGGAUUUGGGAUCAUUCCCGAGGGGUUUGGGAUCAUUUCCAGGGGGUUUGGGAUCAUUCCCAGGGAUUUGGGAUCAUUCCCGUGGGAUCAUUCCCGGGGAUUUGGGACCAUUCCCUUGGGAUCAUUCCCAGGGAUUUGAGAUCAUUCCCGUGGGAUCAUUCCCGGGGAUUUGGGACCAUUCCCGCGGGAUCAUUCCUGCCGAUCCCGAAUUCCCGCAGCUCCGUGGGGGUGGAAUUUCCCCCGGGCCCGGAGCAGCUCCCGGGGCCUCCCUGCCCAGGUGGGGCCGGAUCCGCGUUUUUUCUAGAAUCUUUCCCGGGAAAUCCCGGGAUUUGGAGCUUUCCCGGCUCCUCUUUCCUGGAGUUCGGAGUUUUUUGGGAAUCCCCGAAAUCUGGGAUGUUCCCUGCUCCCAGCCUGGCCUGGAAUUCCCGCGGCAUUCCCAGGGAAUUCCCUCCCUCCACAAAUUCCAGGGAAUUCCCAGGAGGAAUUAUCCCGGAAUGUUCUCCCCGUCCGUGGGAUUUUAGUCCCAAGGAUCCUCUUGGCCCACCAAUUCCAUGGAAUUUUGAUGGAAUUUCCAUUUCUUCACGUUUCCCGUGGGAAAACCUGGAUUUCCCAGUGCUUCCCGGGGGGGUUUUCCCAGGAUUUCCUGGGAAUUCCAUGGGAGCAGCAGGAGCUGGGGGCGCGGGGCUGGGAUUUCCUGGAUUCCCGCCCGGAAUUCCCGUUUUUCCCGUUGCUUUUCCAGCGGAUCCCCCGGCCCUGCCCUGCCCCUGGAGCUGGAGGAGCUGCAGGAGACCGAGAUCAGCUUCUGAAUCGGCGGAUCCCAGAAAUCCCUGGAAUUCCUCCUUUUCCCAGCGAUCCCGGAGCUGGAAAACCGGGAACGAGAGCGGGAACGCCGGGAUUCCCCCUGGAGGGCAGAAACCUCGGGAAAAGGGACCUGGAAUUCCCAGGAAUUCCCGGAUUUCGGGAUGGAAAAGUGGGAGAGAACUCCUGGAAAAUUCCCAGCAGGAAUCGGAGCCGCGCCGGCUUUUUCCGGGGAAUUUUUGGGUCAAUUUUGGCUUUUUUUUUAGGUUUUUAUCCCAGUUUUUUUUUAAUUUCUUGGGAUUUCCGUAGGAUCUCGUCCCGGUUUUCAGCCCUUUGGGAAUUCUUGGGAUUUUUAAUUAUUGAUUUUUAAUUAUUCAUUUUUAAUUUUUUAUUCAGGUUUCCCCACGGGAAAUCCCCCAGAAAAGGGAAAAAAGGAGGAGAAAUCCUGGAAAAGCUCCCGGCUCCUCCACCCUUUUCCCAGCAGGAAUUUCGGGAAGCUUUUCCCGCAAUCUAGGAAGAAUUUUUUGGGGAAUUUUGGGGAUUUUUUUGCAGAUAUUUUUGGGGGAUUUUUUUGGAUUUUCCGAAUCCAAGCCCAUCCCGGGAUUCCCCCCCAGAUUUUUUAAGGAUUUCCCUCCAAAUUCCCCUUUCCCAAUCCCUAAAUCCCAUUUUUUAACACCUCUGACAAUCCCACAAAAUUCCCGGAGCAGAUUUUGGGAUGAGAAGAUAAAAAAUAACCAAAAAAAAAAAAAACAAACCCGGAAUGCGAAAUUUCCCACCCGGAUCCAUCCCAGAAUUCCGGAGCUGGAGCCGAUUUCUGCUCCAUCCCUGAUUUUUUUAAUGGAAAAAAUUCCUUUUUCCCCAAACUCCUGCUGUGGAAAAUCCCAUUUUUUAUCAGAAACUCGGAAUUUGGAGCUUUUUGUGCCAAGAAAAUCCCAUUUUUUUUAGGAAAAGCUGAUUUGUCCCCUCUGGAGCCGCCUCCAGGGAAAUUCCCACCGGGAAUUCGGG
rnacentral:lncRNA from 1 species